rnacentral:rRNA from 1 species
UACGUAGGGUGCAAGCGUUGAUCGGAAUUACUGGGCGUAAAGCGUGCGCAGGCGGUUUUGUAAGUCUGUCGUGAAAGCCCCGGGCUCAACCUGGGAAUUGCGUUGGAGACUGCAAGGCUAGAAUCUGGCAGAGGGGGGUAGAAUUCCACGUGUAGCAGUGAAAUGCGUAGAGAUGUGGAGGAACACCGAUGGCGAAGGCAGCCCCCUGGGUCAAGAUUGACGCUCAUGCACGAAAGCGUGGGGAGCAAACAGG